rnacentral:rRNA from 1 species
UACGUAGGGGGCUAGCGUUGUCCGGAUUUAUUGGGCGUAAAGAGCGUGUAGGCGGCCAGGUAGGUCCGCUGUGAAAGUCCGAGGCUCAACCUCGGGCCUGCAGUGGGUACGGGCAGACUGGAGUGCGGUAGGGGAGAUUGGAAUUCCUGGUGUAGCGGUGAAAUGCGCAGAUAUCAGGAGGAACACCGGUGGCGAAGGCGGGUCUCUGGGCCGAAAUUGACGCUGAGGAGCGAAAGCGUGGGGAGCAAACAGG